GGAUGAGAGAAAGAGAGAAAAAGAAUACCAAUGAUAUAAAAUUCCAAUAUGUAAGGUCUAUGAGUAAUCUCAUAAAAGACAGUGUAAUAAAGCAUCAAUACGCAUUCAUACCAUACUAAAAAGAAUCUUCUUAUAGAAAUAGAACAAAAAAUCAAGAGCUUCGAGCCAAUAAAGACUAAGAAGAUUGACUCAAGAACCAAUUUGAUUCUGAGCUCCAUUGUAGAAUUCGGACCUAACCAUUAAGUAAGAAGUGAUGGGAACGACGGAACUUGUGAAUGCAAAAGAUUCUAUUGAAAAAGGAAUCUUAAUGAUUCACUGGUCGGGAUGGCGGAACGAACCAUAGAUUAAUUCAUGUAUUCUGAGAUCUGAGAAGUCACGAGUUAACCCUACAAAUGAAAUAGGGAUUGAAAGAGUAAAUAUUCGCCCGCGAAAACUUUUUUAUUGCAAAAUUUAGGACAAUACAAUAAAGGACAAAAUAAGGAUUUGGUAUAAUAAUACAAUUUUUUUAUUUCUCUUUAGAAAACUACAAAGUUUAGUUAUCUAUUCAAACAAGAUAUACAAAUUACUAAUAGAUUUAAUGAAAUCUCAAAGAAGCCCACGUUCAAGGUAUUACUCAGUAAAUACAUAUCUUAUAUAUCUUAACUUAAGAUUUACUAUUCUAGCUUAAUUCAAAUUGAAUUUUUUUGAAUCCUUUUAUUUGCGAGGAGCUGGAUGAGAAGAAACUCUCACGUCCGGUUCUGUAGUAGAGAUGGAAUUCAGAACCAACCAUCAACUAUAACCCCAAAAGAACCAGAUUCCGUAAACAACAUAGAGGCAGAAUGAAGGGAAUAUCUUAUCGAGGUAAUCGUAUUUCUUUCGGUAAAUAUGCUCUUCAGGCACUUGAACCUGCUUGGAUUACAUCUCGACAAAUAGAAGCAGGCCGACGGGCAAUGACACGAAAUGCACGUCGUGGUGGAAAAAUAUGGGUACGUAUAUUUCCAGACAAACCUGUUACAUUAAGACCGGCAGAAACCCGUAUGGGUUCAGGAAAAGGAUCCCCUGAAUAUUGGGUAGCUGUUGUUAAACCGGGGCGAAUACUUUAUGAAAUGGGUGGAGUAACAGAAAAUAUAGCCAGAAGGGCUAUUUCACUAGCAGCAUCCAAAAUGCCUAUACGAACUCAAUUCAUUAUUUCGUAAUGUAAUAGAAAAAAAUGUAGAAAGGGCUCUUAGAUAUGAAAGAAAACCGCAUGUUUCUUUUUUUUGGACAAAAAUAUUUCUUUUUUUUUCUUCGCCCUUUGCAUUCAAAGAACGGAUUAAAAAAAUGAUUCAACCUCAGACCCAUUUAAAUGUAGCGGAUAAUAGCGGGGCUCGAGAAUUGAUGUGUAUUCGAAUCAUAGGAGCUAGCAAUCGUCGAUAUGCUCAUAUUGGUGACGUUAUUGUUGCUGUGAUCAAAGAAGCAGUACCAAAUAUGCCCCUAGAAAGAUCAGAAGUAGUCAGAGCUGUAAUUGUGCGUACCUGUAAAGAACUCAAACGUGACAACGGGAUGAUAAUACGAUACGAUGACAAUGCUGCAGUUGUUAUUGAUCAAGAAGGAAAUCCAAAAGGAACUCGAAUUUUUGGUGCAAUCGCCCGGGAAUUGAGAGAAUUAAAUUUUACUAAAAUAGUUUCAUUAGCUCCCGAGGUAUUAUAAAAUGAAAUUGUGAUCUGUUUCGAGUGGGGUAUUUGAAAGAAAUAGAUUAAUUAGUAGAUUGUGUCUCACGCAUAUAUCUUUAAUAAUUCAUAUCAUAUUCAAAAAUAAAUAAGUAAAAAACACGUUGAUUAUAUCAAAUUUGGAGACCCCAAUAAUUUUAGUUCAUCAUGGGCAGGGACACUAUUGCUGAGAUAAUAACUUCUAUACGAAAUGCUGAUAUGGAUCGAAAAAGGGUGGUUCGAAUAGCAUCUACUAAUAUUACCGAAAAUAUUGUUCAAAUACUUUUACGAGAGGGUUUUAUCGAAAACGUGAGAAAACAUCGAGAAAACAACAAAUACUUUUUGGUUUUAACCCUGCGACAUAGAAGGAAUAGGAAAAGACCCUAUAGAAAUAUUUUAAAUUUAAAACGAAUCAGUCGACCUGGUCUACGAAUCUAUUCUAAUUAUCAACGAAUUCCGCGAAUUUUAGGUGGAAUGGGGAUUGUAAUUCUUUCUACUUCUCGAGGUAUAAUGACAGACCGAGAGGCUCGACUAGAAGGAAUAGGUGGAGAAAUUUUGUGUUAUAUCUGGUAAUCCUUUAUAAUAUGCAAAUUGAAUUCGAAACUUCCUAUUUGCGAAAAAGGGGGGGAGAGUUAUCUAAUAUCUUUCGCAUUAGUUGAUACCUCAAAGGAACUUUGUUUUAUACAGAUACUGCCAGGAGAUAGAGUCAAAAUUGAAGUAAGUCCUUAUGAUUCAACCAAAGGACAUAUAAUUUAUCGACUCCACAACAAAGAUUUGAAGGAUUAGGUUUUCAACUUCACCAUUCCUUUCGUGGGAAUACAAUUCGAGAUGAAAAAUUUCAAGAAACUUAUUUUCUUCCAAGAAAUAGAUUCAGAAUUAAGGUAAGGAAUGAUAAAUAUGAAAAUAAGAGCUUCCGUUCGUAAAAUUUGUGAAAAAUGUCGACUAAUCCGUAGGAGGGGGCGCAUUAUAGUAAUUUGUUCCAACCCGAGACAUAAACAAAGACAGGGCUAAUCAGACUUGCCAGAAGAGCCGAUGUACAAAUAAAGAAUCUGUUUUGACAUGAAAUGGAUAUAUCCAUAUAUCUCUGACUCAUAUUUACGAGAUGAUAAAAUAUGGCAAAAGCUAUACCGAAAAUUAGUUCGCGUCGGAAUGGACGUAUUAGUUCACGUAAGGGUGCACGUAGAAUACCAAAGGGAGUUAUUCAUGUUCAAGCAAGUUUCAAUAAUACCAUUGUCACUGUUACAGAUGUACGGGGUCGAGUAGUUUCUUGGUCCUCAGCUGGUACUUCUGGAUUCAAAGGUACGAGAAGAGGAACACCGUUUGCUGCUCAAACCGCAGCAGCAAACGCUAUCCGUACAGUAGUGGAUCAAGGUAUGCAACGAGCAGAAGUCAUGAUAAAAGGUCCCGGUCUCGGAAGAGAUGCAGCAUUACGAGCUAUUCGUCGCAGUGGUAUACUAUUAACUUUCGUACGGGAUGUAACUCCGAUGCCACAUAAUGGCUGUAGACCUCCGAAAAAAAGACGUGUGUAGAACUGAACAUUGAAGAAAUCUCAAGAGAAAUAAAAGAUUCGAUGAUCUAAUCAAAUAAUAGUACUAUGGUUCGAGAGAAAGUAACAGUAUCUACUCGGACACUACAGUGGAAGUGUGUUGAAUCAAGAACAGACAGUAAACGCCUUUAUUAUGGACGCUUUAUUCUGUCUCCACUUAUGAAAGGCCAAGCCGACACAAUAGGCAUUGCGAUGCGAAGAGCUUUACUUGGGGAAAUAGAAGGAACAUGUAUCACACGUGUAAAAUCUGAGAAAGUACCACAUGAAUAUUCUACCAUAACGGGCAUUCAAGAAUCGGUACAUGAAAUUUUAAUGAAUUUGAAAGAGAUUGUAUUGAGAAGUAAUUUAUAUGGAACUUCUGAGGCGUCUAUUUGUGUCAAGGGUCCUGGAUAUGUAACUGCUCAAGAUAUCAUCUUGCCACCUUAUGUGGAAAUCGUUGAUAAUACACAACAUAUAGCUAGUUUAACGGAACCAAUUGAUUUUUGUAUUGGAUUACAAAUAGAGAGAAAUCGUGGAUAUCUUAUAAAAACGCCACAUAACUUUCAAGAUGGAAGUUAUCCUAUAGAUGCUGUAUUCAUGCCUGUUCGAAACGCGAAUCAUAGUAUUCAUUCUUAUGGGAAUGGGAAUGAAAAACAAGAGAUACUUUUUAUCGAAAUAUGGACAAACGGAAGUUUAACUCCGAAAGAAGCACUUCAUGACGCAUCCCGAAAUUUAAUUGAUUUAUUUAUUCCCUUUUUACAUAUGGAGGAAGACAACUUAUAUUUACAGGACAAUCAACACACGGUUCCUUUAUCCCCUUUUACCUUUCAUGAUAAAUUGGCUAAACUCAUAAAAAACAAAAAAAAAAUAGCAUUGAAAUCGAUUUUUAUUGACCAAUCAGAAUUGUCUUCCAGGAUCUAUAAUUGCCUCAAAAUGUCCAAUAUAUAUACAUUAUUGGACCUUUUGAAUAACAGCCAAGAAGAUCUUAUGAAAAUUGAACAUUUUCGUAGCGAAGAUAUAAAACAGAUAUUGGACAUUUUAGAAAAAUAUUUCGUAAUUGAUUUAGCAAAAAAUAAGUUUUAAAUCUAUUGGACUUACUUAGUGAAAAUAGAUUGAAAAAGCACAAUUUAGCACAAUUAAUAUAUCAUAUAUUAGAUAUUAGAAAGAAAUUAAUAAUGAAAUUGAAUAGAUGUAUCUAGGGAGAAUUCGCUUUGAAGAAACUAUUCCCUAGAUACACAUGUCGUGUUAGUUCACAAUUGAAUCAAUUAAAAAAUUUAAAAAAGACCUAAAGUUAGGGAUUUAUCAAUAGGUAAUGUUGCACCAAUGCCCAACCAAAGGGCGACUGCGGUACCAAUCAAAAAGACAGUCGUCGCUACUGGACGGCGAAAUGGAUUUUGGAAUUUAUUAACAUUCUCUAAAAAAGGUACUGUUAAUAAUCCCGCAGGUACUGAAACCAUUAAAAGAACCCCCAAUAAUUUAUUGGGCACUGUACGAAGUAUUUGAAAUACAGGAAAGAAAUACCAUUCAGGUAAGAUUUCCAAAGGGGUUGCAAAUGGAUCCGCUGGUUCACCAAUCAUUGAUGGUUCUAAAACGGCUAAGCCUACAUUACAUGCAAUAGUACCUAGAAUUACUACUGGAAAAAUAUAUAAAAGAUCAUUGGGCCAUGCGGGCUCGCCAUAAUAAUUAUGACCCAUACCCUUAGCCAAUUUAGCUCUUAAUACAGGAUCAUUCAAGUCAGGUUUUUUUGUUAUUGGGAUAGGUGAAUUCUUAUAGAUCCAUCCCCCGAGGGAACUGGACAUGAUAAUUUU
rnacentral:lncRNA from 1 species